AAUGGGUCAGCGACUUAUAUUCUGUAGCAAGGUUAACCGAAUAGGGGAGCCGAAGGGAAACCGAGUCUUAACUGGGCGUUAAGUUGCAGGGUAUAGACCCGAAACCCGGUGAUCUAGCCAUGGGCAGGUUGAAGGUUGGGUAACACUAACUGGAGGACCGAACCGACUAAUGUUGAAAAAUUAGCGGAUGACUUGUGGCUGGGGGUGAAAGGCCAAUCAAACCGGGAGAUAGCUGGUUCUCCCCGAAAGCUAUUUAGGUAGCGCCUCGUGAAUUCAUCUCCGGGGGUAGAGCACUGUUUCGGCAAGGGGGUCAUCCCGACUUACCAACCCGAUGCAAACUGCGAAUACCGGAGAAUGUUAUCACGGGAGACACACGGCGGGUGCUAACGUCCGUCGUGAAGAGGGAAACAACCCAGACCGCCAGCUAAGGUCCCAAAGUCAUGGUUAAGUGGGAAACGAUGUGGGAAGGCCCAGACAGCCAGGAUGUUGGCUUAGAAGCAGCCAUCAUUUAAAGAAAGCGUAAUAGCUCACUGGUCGAGUCGGCCUGCGCGGAAGAUGUAACGGGGCUAAACCAUGCACCGAAGCUGCGGCAGCGACGCUUAUGCGUUGUUGGGUAGGGGAGCGUUCUGUAAGCCUGUGAAGGUGUACUGUGAGGUAUGCUGGAGGUAUCAGAAGUGCGAAUGCUGACAUAAGUAACGAUAAAGCGGGUGAAAAGCCCGCUCGCCGGAAGACCAAGGGUUCCUGUCCAACGUUAAUCGGGGCAGGGUGAGUCGACCCCUAAGGCGAGGCCGAAAGGCGUAGUCGAUGGGAAACAGGUUAAUAUUCCUGUACUUGGUGUUACUGCGAAGGGGGGACGGAGAAGGCUAUGUUGGCCGGGCGACGGUUGUCCCGGUUUAAGCGUGUAGGCUGGUUUUCCAGGCAAAUCCGGAAAAUCAAGGCUGAGGCGUGAUGACGAGGCACUACGGUGCUGAAGCAACAAAUGCCCUGCUUCCAGGAAAAGCCUCUAAGCAUCAGGUAACAUCAAAUCGUACCCCAAACCGACACAGGUGGUCAGGUAGAGAAUACCAAGGCGCUUGAGAGAACUCGGGUGAAGGAACUAGGCAAAAUGGUGCCGUAACUUCGGGAGAAGGCACGCUGAUAUGUAGGUGAAGCGACUUGCUC
rnacentral:rRNA from 1 species